rnacentral:rRNA from 1 species
UGGGGAAUAUUGGACAAUGGGCGAAAGCCUGAUCCAGCCAUGCCGCGUGUGUGAAGAAGGUCUUCGGAUUGUAAAGCACUUUAAGUUGGGAGGAAGGGCAGUAAGCGAAUACCUUGCUGUUUUGACGUUACCGACAGAAUAAGCACCGGCUAACUCUGUGCCAGCAGCCGUGGUAAUACAGAGGGUGCAAGCGUUAAUCGGAAUUACUGGGCGUAAAGCGCGCGUAGGUGGUUCGUUAAGUUGAAUGUGAAAGCCCCGGGCUCAACCUGGGAACUGCAUCCAAAACUGGCGAGCUAGAGUAGGGCAGAGGGUGGUGGAAUUUCCUGUGUAGCGGUGAAAUGCGUAGAUAUAGGAAGGAACACCAGUGGCGAAGGCGACCACCUGGGCUCAUACUGACACUGAGGUGCGAAAGCGUGGGGAGCAAACAGG